rnacentral:rRNA from 1 species
CAGCAGCCGCGGUAAUACGAAGGGUGCAAGCGUUAAUCGGAAUUACUGGGCGUAAAGCGUGCGUAGGCGGUUUGUUAAGUCUGUUGUGAAAUCCCCGGGCUCAACCUGGGAAUGGCAAUGGAUACUGGCAAGCUAGAGUGUGUCAGAGGAUGGUGGAAUUCCCGGUGUAGCGGUGAAAUGCGUAGAGAUCGGGAGGAACAUCAGUGGCGAAGGCGGCCAUCUGGGACAACACUGACGCUGAGGCACGAAAGCGUGGGGAGCAAACAGGAUUAGAUACCCCCGUAGUCCCUGUCUCUUAUAC